ensembl:rRNA 5S_rRNA 5S ribosomal RNA
AUCUAUGUCCAUACCACCCUGAACACACCUGAUCUCCUCUGAUCUCAGAAGCUAACCUGGGUCGGGCAUGGUUAGUACUUGGAUGGGAGACAUUAGGGGCUAAGAUCUCAACAUAUGAA